CUUUAAGAAAAUUGUUUUUUAUGUUGGUGGCUAUUUUAUCCUACUAUUUUUCAUAGGUAAAAAUAGCUUCUUCAGUCAUACUGAGUAUUGGUCAAACUGUAUCAGCCCUGAGAGAAAAUAGGUCUCUCCGAGCAUCUCUUUUCUGUUCCUACAAGUUUUCCUCUAAAUUGUAGUGAAAAUAUCACUAUAUAGUCUACUCUACAAGCAGCAAAAUUGAUAUUGUAAGAGCAAGCUAUUUGUCAGGGAACACUAGCAGAGUCUGAAAUCCAAAGCAGGGUUAAUGUUAUAGAGUUUCAAGCCAUUUUAUAAGAAUAUAUUCAUUGGAUCUUGACUUGUAGUUUAGCUGUAACAAGAGUAUUGUAUGCAAUCUGGCAGAGCGUAAAUCUCCUGGACUCCAGUUAUGGCAUAAUUUAAUUCUGAGUCGUGUUUUCUAACGUAACAGCUUCUAAAACUGCAUGUGCAGUUUAGUUGAGUGACGAGGUGCAAGGACUUCUACCUACAAAUGAAUUUUAGGGAUCUUUACUAUAUUCACUGGAGAGAGUUUAAAAUAUACACUGACUUUUUAAAAAGAGCUUGAUAUUUUUUUCUGAUAUAUAGUAGAAGUUCUGGUCUGCUUAUGAGAUAAUUUCAGAAUCUUCACCUUUCAAUUUCAAUAUGUUAAUGAAUUCUAGAGAAUGAAGGUACUUGAAGAGGUUAAAGAAGGCCAAUGCACUGUACUUGCCUACCUCACGUGGUGAAGAAUGAAGAGAAUUGCAUUAAACAAACUGUGUUAUAGGUGGGACAAGUAAAGGGACAGUCUGUGGUGUUCUAUAAAAGCUCACUGACAAAACCUUAUGAUUUGUCAUGAAAUUUCCAUUUAUCUGUUUAGCCAUGGAAACCUGCAGUUAAUGCUGUUGAGAUGCUAAUGAAGUUGAUGGGAAGGAACCCUUUAAAAGGAACUUGGAUUCAGAUGUAGAAGGACUGUAGAUGAGGGGACCAAAGGAUGUCUUUUUGGGCAUGGUGUCCAUGGGCAUGGUUAACACACCAAAUGGUGCAGAAAACAUUACAUGCGUGGAGAGCAUCAAAACUGAAAUUACUGUUGGUGUGGUAUCCUCUGGGUUUCCUGAAUUCUUAGAAUUUUAUCUUUAGUACUCACAAAUAAAUAAUGGUUGUGAUUAUAUUUAAAGAAAAUUCUGCAUGCUAGUA